AGGACGAACGCUGGCGGCGUGCUUAACACAUGCAAGUCGAGCGGUAAGGCCUUUCGGGGUACACGAGCGGCGAACGGGUGAGUAACACGUGGGUGAUCUGCCCUGCACUCUGGGAUAAGCCUGGGAAACUGGGUCUAAUACCGGAUAUGACCUGCUCUCGCUAGUGGGGGGUGGUGGAAAGAUUUAGUCGGUGCAGGAUCGGGCCCGCGGCCUAUCAGCUUGGUUGGUGGGUAAUGGCCUACCGAAGGCGACGACGGGUAGCCGACCUGAGAGGGUGACCGGCCACACGUGGGACUGAGACACGGCCCAGACUCCUAGUGGGAGCAGCAGUGGGAAUAGUGCA
rnacentral:rRNA from 1 species